CCUUCGGGAGGCUGCAGUGGGGAAUUUUGGACAAUGGGGGCAACCCUGAUCCAGCCAUGCCGCGUGAGUGAAGAAGGCCUUCGGGUUGUAAAGCUCUUUCGGCCGGGAAGAAAUCGCUCAAGCUAAUACCUUGGGUGGAUGACGGUACCGGAAGAAGAAGCACCGGCUAACUACGUGCCAGCAGCCGCGGUAAUACGUAGGGUGCGAGCGUUAAUCGGAGUUACUAGGCGUAAAGCGAAGACAGGCGUGAAAGCCCCGGGCGUAACCUGGGAAGUGCGUUUGUGACUGUGGUGCUCGAGUGCGGCAGAGGGGGGUGGAAUUCCACGUGUAGCAGUGAAAUGCGUAGAGAUGUGGAGGAACACCGAUGGCGAAGGCAGCCCCCUGGGUCGACACUGACGCUCAUGCACGAAAGCGUGGGGAGCAAACAGGAUUAGAUACCCUAGUAGUC
rnacentral:rRNA from 1 species